UUGUGGUUACAUCACAAAAAAAUAAUUAAAAUUCGCGUGCAUCAUUUAAAAGGAAUUCGGCAAAUAAAAUAUUCACUUGUUUAU